UUGGUACACGUUUAUCACGGAUCUCAGAGAAGGAAAAGUGGCUAUCGCUAUCUCUAUUGCAAUGUUAGCUCUGUUGAAGUUCCACUACGAGUGCGGAGAUGAUACAUGUUUACUAACAAAAGAUUAGAGCCAUAACAAACGAAACCUCCAAUUUCUUUGUAGAUCGUCCCGAAGAUCGCUCUAUAAAAUCCUAAGUACAUCUCGAUCAUUGGUAUUGAACCUCACCUUGCUGUUCCUGCCCGCAGAUAAGCUGAUGAUGUUCUCGACACUGUGGCUUCCGUUUGUUCCAGCUGCUUAUUUCACUUCUCUGACCUGCUCCUCCACCGGUGGACGAUAGUGUACUGCUGCUGCUGCGAGCGGUGCCACUCAGUUGCCGAACGACAACAAUGGCCGGUGCAUUUAUGCCCAACCGCCGUACCGUCGCCGUUGCCAUCAUUGUCGCCCAUCGAGAUGAUGUUUGCGCAACCGGGCUGGAGCCUGUGCAGUACCCGCGUUGUUGAUGGGAUGAUGCUGACUGUGGUAGUGCUGUC